GCUUCAACAAAAAAAAAGAAAAUGUUUCCAGCAAAAGCACUUGCCGCUUCCAGCAAAACUAUGAAUUAUUGUCACUGGGUCGUAGCAAAAAAAAAAUCAUCGCUUCCAGUAAAAAAAUUGCUGGUUCCAGCAAGGAUAGAUCGCCGUCGCACCACGGCUGUCGCCGGUUCCAUCAUUUGUUUUGCUGGUUGCAACUCCACCGGCCUAUGGUUGUAGCUCUGCCGCGCCAGGGUAGCAGCAUCUCCGCCGGCGAAUCGCAUCAGUGGUUGGCGUCGGCCGUCCCGCUUGUAGCCCGUCGUUGCCUCUCCUCAAAAUAGGGGGCUCCGCUGCUUGUAGCACUUGCGCUGGCCGACUUGCAGCACUUGUGCCGCUGCCCCCGCCCGCAGCAGCCGACUCCUUCCCCGUAUUUGCAACGCAAGUGGCCAUGGAUAUCUAGCAGCAGCAUGUGGGAGAAGAAGAGAAAAGGGGAAGAGAGAUAGUGUUCAGGC
rnacentral:rRNA from 1 species